GUUUUUGCAAGUGUUGAGUGAGAUCCUGGCACUCAGAGUUCUCGCAUGGCCUCAAAGCUCUAGAGCAGCUGGAGGGGUGAUUAUAAAAUCAGCAAAGGAAUAGAACCAAGAACUUCAUUUCCAAUCUUCCCAAGAGGUAAUGUCUCCCCCUCGAUGCCCCCUCCCCAAAGAUGUUAUUUCUUCUGUCCCCACAUGGCUGAAAGAAAACGAGGGGAGGACCCUCAGGUCAGGGAUGGUGUCUUUUUUCAUCUUUGAAUCUUCUUAUGCCUGGCCCACGUCCUGGUAAGAGGGGGUUCAGUAAAUAAUAUUGAAUGAAUGAAAGGCUUGGGUUUCCAUGGAAAGAGCUCUGAGAGAAGUAUUUUUAUACUAACAUGUCAAUGACUGCAUUUCCCCUCUCCCAACAUGGGAGAGAGCAUAGGAUACCAGGAACCUGAAAGGGAAGCAGAAGAUUGUUUCUGACAGUGGUCAGAAACCCAUGAGGGGUGUCUGGGCAGGCCAGAGUUUUCUGGUCUGGACUCUAGGCUCCCAACUUACACAUCCCUCUCAGCAGCCAAAGACCCUGCCCCACUGCCAGGUCCUACCCAACCAUUGGGCCAGUGGCCUUUGCAGAUGAGGAAACUGAAGUUCAGCAGCUGAAAUCAACUCACCUGAGGUCACACACAAGGGGCCUUCUGGGGAGCAUCUUCAUCUUGAGAGAGGAUUGCUAAGGACAGGACUUUCUGGUGCCCAGACGAUCUCAUGAGGAAGACAUCUUUAAGCAGGGUGCCCUUUGGAACCUGAGAGAAGGAUCCCACCUUCACCAUUGUGGAAGGAAGGAGGAUGCUCACGGUAGAGGCUACACUACAGAAGACAACUGAGUGCUAGCGGCGGAUGGACAGCGUCAGGUACACCCAGGGUUGGGGAACCUCGGCUGUCCGACAAGGGCCACAGAAGAAGGGAUACCCUGAGCAGAAAAGAAGCUUGCUUCCAAGAGACCCAGGGCGGGCACGAGAAUCCUGAGUCUUCUCCCCAGGAAGCAGGGGACUCUCACGUGUGGAGGGACCCCUUGAAGAAGCAGGCGCUCUGCCUCGCACCUCUAGGAUCGGGUGAACA